AUAAGGAGCACAGAAUUCCGUCGCAUGCCGUUUAAAGAGAUAGCCGAGAAAAGACAAAAGAAAAUAAAACAUACUUUUCAUCCCAAUUAUUUCCACUUACGCACACAUUAUGAACAGUUUAUAGCGCCCCUGAAAUCUGUUCGGACCCAACAAACAAACUGACAUACUAAAACUUUGACAAAUCACACAUUGUCUGCGUAAAUGCAUUCGCAAACGAUCUACGAUCAAAUUCGAACAUCUCUCGAUUGAUAAAUGAGGCCCCAACAAGUACACAUUUUAACAAGGGUUUCUUUUUUUAUUUUUCCCCCUCAUCGUACCAAGGAAAUAGCUAAACAAAACCGCAACGCAGGUCUGUGGUUCUUUCCACAAUCUGACGAAAGGAAAAUGCCUUAUCAGUCUUCUCCAGCGGCUUUCUCCACAAAGUACUGCCCCGCAACAUCAUGGCACCUCAGUGCUUUCAGCCGUUCUACAGACAGCCGAGGAGUGAGCAUGUACCAGUGAUCUGCACACCCGCACCACCUGGCACCCUAACGGGUGCAACCUUUACAGGAGUGUCCAUCUCCCUGUCGGACGGCCCACCUGCCACAGGUGCCCCUCAAGUGUCUGGGGGUGACUCUAAAAUCCCAAACUUCUGCUUUGAAGGCAGCGUACACCCCCCCCCCCCCUUCCCCAGCCUCGACGGUUCACCUCCACGGACAGUCCAACAAUGGGACACGUGCCCCUGCACCAUCACCAUGGUAACCAACAGGGCUUAGACACCCCCCCACCCCCCAAAAAAAGGAGGGAUUUGGCCGCCUAGAAGGGGGUCUUUAUAAGGACAGAACAUGUAACAGCUGCUUUUGGGAGACCCCUGUUGGAGACCAGCUGGAGUUUUCUGUCCCUCUCGCCCCUGUUCCGGCUGCACCGGUGAGCAGAUUAAACCUCGGCUUGUUUGUGGCACACUUCCUUUGUGACGGGGCCGGCAUGCACACCACUGCACACCAGAGGAGAAAGCACCACUCACAGGGAUCCUCCCAUCUGAUUUCUAUAAGUAGAGGAGUACACAGCAUUUCAGAAGGCAAAACAAACAACAAAUAUAUGGCUAGCAAGCAAUGGCACAAACGUGGGACACUUAAGUGUAUUUAGAGUCUCUUGCACUUAUGAGGGAAAUUUGUCCUGCCUGGCAUACAUCCAAAUGCACUGAAACACGUCUGUGAUUUGGACUAUUCUCAGCUAAUUGGCCUGUUUAUUAGAACGUUUCAUCACUUCAGAUGCGCACGAUGUAGACACAGUAUUUUGAAAACACAGAUGUGUAAUUGUGCAUGAGCAUCAUAGCCACAAGUAUGAAAAAACCAUUUAGUGGGGGGAAAAAACAAGCUAGUUAAUUGACUAAAUCUUUUAUAAAAAUUAAGCCAUAAAUAGCAUAACCAAACAUUGACCAUGUUUUUGAUGUUACAUUUGUGUGUGUGUGUGUGUGUGUGUGUGUGUGUGUGUGUGUGUGUGUGGUGUGUGUGUGUGGUGUGUGUGUGUGUGUGUGUGUGUGUGUGUGUGUGUGUGUGUGUGUGUGUGUGUGUGUGUGUGUGUGUGUGUGUGUGUGUGUGUGUGUGUGUGUGUGUGUGCGCGCGCGUGUGUAAUGUAGGUACAUGUGAUAUUGGGUGCCAAGGACAGACUGGGUAAUCUCUGCAGGCAACUGUGACGUGUUUUAUUUCCUCACAUUAACCUGAAGAGAUUCUGCAGUCUGUCUGCUCUGUGCUCCAUUGUGUGCCCUGGCUGCCCGAUAGUCUGCUGUGUGUCCGUUAUGUAGCCUGUGCCCUAUGCAGUCUGCUCUGUGCCUGUUAUGUAGUCUGUGUAUCCUGUGCCCUAUGUAGUCUGUCUCCUCUGUGCCCUAUGUAGUCUGCUCUGUGCCUGUUACAUAGUCUGUGUGCCCUGUGUCCUAUGUAUUCUGCUCUGUGUCCUCUAGCCGCACUGUGCCAUCAUUCCUAAAAUCGAUACACCUGGCUGUAAAUAAACCAGUGUAAUUUUCAUUCUUAGGAAAAGAAAACACAGUUUGCCUUAAAUAAUGAAAACAUCAAGACACCUGUAACGCCGGUAAUAUGUUAAGUGGACCGUUAUUCCCUGAUCAGUGUUGUGUUGCAGAUAUGAGACAUUUUUGGGGUAAUGAAAAAUACACAAUACUAAACCACGUAGUGUUUAUUAUAUUAAGGAAUCGCAAAGACACUGCUUGUGGUUACUUUUGCACGUACUGUUCGAUGGGGUUGAUUUGGCUGUUGAGCAUGCCACGGUAUGACAUAUUGGCAGUGUUGCAUCAGUCACUGACACGCUUUUCGAGCUCGUGGCUUUCUCGCCUGCGUGAACGUGUGUCGUUGUCUUUGCAGAAGACCCCCCGAGUCCGACACGCCUUUUUGUCAACGGCUGCGAUUUCGCAUAAUCUCAGCUGGCAACUGUGAGCUGUGCCGUCGCCCCCCUCACGGUGGCUGCUGGGAUUAUGUUAAACGCAGCGAUUUCCUCGCGCUGCCCGAUCGAUCGGCACGAGCUGUCACCCAAGCCUCGGAGAUCCGCCUUUUGAAUGAAGAUGUCGCUGCAAUUACGGAAGCGUGUCUUAAUGAGGUUAACUUCACCGGCCAAAAAAAAGUUAUUCUGAGGCCACAUACCCUUUCUUUUCUUUCUUUUUGGUCUUUUAAUUCGUUCACCCAUCCAUUCUUCCUUUUUUACUUUAAAGGCCUAGCUAUUUAUUGUGGACUUUUUGCUUUGCUGCGUCUAAUCUCCUUCCAGAAUAUGCUACGUUUUGUUUUGCUGCGGAAGGAACAGAUGGCACGGGUGAGCACGGAGCUUUCUGGUGUCGAUGAUACUGCAUCAGGAACUGAUUGGAUAAUGUACUGAGACCAUCAGUUCUUCAUGCAUUGCCUUCAGCAUCGAAAGAAACGCCACUGUUUUUUCAGACGUUUUCAAAGGUGUAACGAGUGAGAAAUGGGGAAACGUACGCAUUUUCCACUGAAUAAUGAAACCGGGUUAUAUUAACAAUCAGCGAUCUUGCUUCGUGUACUGUAUACGAAUGUGGCUUACUGGUCCUAAUAAAAUGCUUUUUAUCCAAUGUGGGCUCAAAUAAAAAGUUGAAUACUUCCAA